rnacentral:tRNA from 1 species
GGGGUUUUAGCCUAACGUUUAGAGCGUCAGACUUCCGAUUUGAAGAUCGGGGGUUCGAUUCCCAACCCAACUCCG